AGAGUUUGAUCCUGGCUCAGGAUAAACGCUGGCGGCGCACAUAAGACAUGCAAGUCGAACGGAAGUCGUUACGAAACGGAUUGAAGAUUUAUCAGAUUGAAGUUUUGUAACAAUGGCUUUAGUGGCGGACUGGUGAGUAACACGUAAGCAACCUGCCUAUUAGAGGGGAAUAACAAUGAGAAAUCAUUGCUAAUACCGCAUAAGCUUGUAGCAACGCAUGUUGUAGCAAGAAAAGGAGAAAUCCGCUAAUAGAUGGGCUUGCGGCUGAUUAGCUAGUUGGUAGGGUAAAGGCUUACCAAGGCAACGAUCAGUAGCCGGGCUGAGAGGCUCUGCGGCCACAUUGGGACUGAGAUACGGCCCAGACUCCUACGGGAGGCAGCAGUCGGGAAUAUUGCGCAAUGGAGGAAACUCUGACGCAGUGACGCCGCGUAUAGGAAGAAGGUUUUAGGAUUGUAAACUAUUUUAGACAGGGAAGAAUAAAUGACAGUACCUGUAGAAUAAGCUCCGGCUAACUACGUGCCAGCAGCCGCGGUAAUACGUAGGGAGCAAGCGUUAUCCGGAAUUAUUGGGUGUAAAGGGUGCGUAGACGGGAAUACAAGUUGGUUGUGAAAUCCCUCGGCUCAACCGAGGAACUGCAACCAAAACUAUAUUUCUUGAGUGCAGGAGAGGAAAGCGGAAUUCCUAGUGUAGCGGUGAAAUGCGUAGAUAUUAGGAGGAACACCAGUGGCGAAGGCGGCUUUCUGGACUGUAACUGACGUUGAGGCACGAAAGUGUGGGGAGCAAACAGGAUUAGAUACCCU
rnacentral:rRNA from 1 species